CGUUUUCACUCCUACGGGAGGCAGCAGUGGGGAAUAUUGCACAAUGGGGGAAACCCUGAUGCAGCCAUGCCGCGUGUGUGAAGAAGGCCUUCGGGUUGUAAAGCACUUUCAGUAGGGAGGAAGGUAGUGUAGUUAACACCUGCAUUAUUUGACGUUACCUACAGAAGAAGCACCGGCUAACUCCGUGCCAGCAGCCGCGGUAAUACGGAGGGUGCGAGCGUUAAUCGGAAUUACUGGGCGUAAAGCGCAUGCAGGCGGCCUGUUAAGUCAGAUGUGAAAGCCCGGGGCUUAACCUCGGAAUUGCAUUUGAAACUGGCAGGCUAGAGUCUUGUAGAGGGGGUAGAAUUUCAGGUGUAGCGGUGAAAUGCGUAGAGAUCUGAAGGAAUACCAGUGGCGAAGGCGGCCCCCUGGACAAAGACUGACGCUCAGAUGCGAAAGCGUGGGGAGCAAACAGGAUUAGAUACCCUGGUAG
rnacentral:rRNA from 1 species